GUUUACAAGCCCUAUUUAUAGAAAACAACUCCUAAAUAAAAAGGGAAACGAAUUAAGGAAAGUUUUGUUCAGGUACGCGUCUUCAAUCCACGAGACUGACUUACGGACCGUCGAUGGAUCUACGGUCCGUAAGUCCCUUCCGUCAGUCAGGACUUAGAAAAUAUUUCAGCUUCCAAAAAUAAGCUUCUCUGAAACAAACGAC
rnacentral:lncRNA from 1 species